rnacentral:tRNA from 1 species
GGCUUGGUAGCUCAGUUGGUAGAGCACUUGAUUGAAGCUCAAGGUGUCGGCAGUUCGAUUCUGCCCCAAGCCA